AGCGUAACAAGGUCUCCGUUGGUGAACCAGCGGAGGGAUCAUUACCGAGUUUACAACUCCCAAACCCCUGUGAACAUACCACUUGUUGCCUCGGCGGAUCAGCCCGCUCCCGGUAAAACGGGACGGCCCGCCAGAGGACCCCUAAACUCUGUUUCUAUAUGUAACUUCUGAGUAAAACCAUAAAUAAAUCAAAACUUUCAACAACGGAUCUCUUGGUUCUGGCAUCGAUGAAGAACGCAGCAAAAUGCGAUAAGUAAUGUGAAUUGCAGAAUUCAGUGAAUCAUCGAAUCUUUGAACGCACAUUGCGCCCGCCAGUAUUCUGGCGGGCAUGCCUGUUCGAGCGUCAUUUCAACCCUCAAGCACAGCUUGGUGUUGGGACUCGCGUUAAUUCGCGUUCCUCAAAUUGAUUGGCGGUCACGUCGAGCUUCCAUAGCGUAGUAGUAAAACCCUCGUUACUGGUAAUCGUCGCGGCCACGCCGUUAAACCCCAACUUCUGAAUGUUGACCUCGGAUCAGGUAGGAAUACCCGCUGAACUUAAGCAUAUCAAA
rnacentral:rRNA from 1 species